UGUACACGCUGUGACUAGCAUAUCAAUAAGCGGAGGAAAAGAAACUAACAAGGAUUCCCUUAGUAACGGCGAGUGAAGCGGGAAGAGCUCAAAUUUGAAAUCUUAAAGGGUUUCCCUUUACGAAUUGUAGUUUAAAGAAGUGUUUUCUGUUAGAGUUUCGGUAAAAGUUCUUUGGAAUAGGACAUCAUAGAGGGUGAGAAUCCCGUAUUUGACCGUUAUUUCUAGCUUUGUGAUACACUUUCAAAGAGUCGGAUUGUUUGGGAAUGCAGUCCAAAAUGGGUGGUAAAUUUCAUCUAAAGCUAAAUAUUGGCGAGAGACCGAUAGCGAACAAGUACCGUGAGGGAAAGAUGAAAAGAACUUUGAAAAGAGAGUUAAACAGUACGUGAAAUUGUCAAAAGGGAAGCGUUUGACACCAGUGUUGUUUUCUCGAAAAUCAAUUAAAAAUGGCUCGAUUUUGUAUUGCUUGAGACCUUAAAAGCUCACUGUACAUUUUUCGUGUCUUUUUUAAUGCACUUUUCGUUUAACAAGUCAACAUCAGUUUCUUUUGUUGUAAAAGGGUCAUUGGAAGGUGGCUUUCUUUUCGGAGAAAGUGUUUAUAGCCUUUGGCCUCUGCAAUCGGAAGAGACUGAGGUCUGCAGCGUAGACUCUUCGGGGUUAGAUACAUUUGUGCUAAGUUAUAGCUUUUUAUAGACAACUUGUUGACUAUAAUUAGUCUUGUAGCUUACUCGCUUCUGCUAUUUUACCUACGCUUAGGAUGUUGAGCGCAUGUCUCUCUCU
rnacentral:rRNA from 1 species